AUUGAACGCUGGCGGCAUGCCUUACACAUGCAAGUCGAACGGCAGCACGGGAGCUUGCUCCUGGUGGCGAGUGGCGAACGGGUGAGUAAUAUAUCGGAACGUACCCUAGAGUGGGGGAUAACGCAGCGAAAGUUGCGCUAAUACCGCAUACGAUCUACGGAUGAAAGGCAGGGGACCGCAGGGCCUUGCGCGAAUGGAGC
rnacentral:rRNA from 1 species